rnacentral:rRNA from 1 species
UGGGGAAUCUUGGACAAUGGGCGCAAGCCUGAUCCAGCCAUGCCGCGUGGAUGAUGAAGGCCCUAGGGUUGUAAAAUCCUUUCGUUGGGGACGAUAAUGACGGUACCCAAAGAAGAAGCUCCGGCUAACUUCGUGCCAGCAGCCGCGGUAAUACGAAGGGGGCUAGCGUUGUUCGGAUUUACUGGGCGUAAAGCGCGUGUAGGCGGGUCGCUAAGUUGGGGGUGAAAUCCCGAGGCUCAACCUCGGAACUGCCUUCAAAACUGGCGACCUGGACCCAAGUAGAGGCAAGUGGAAUUGCGAGUGUAGAGGUGAAAUUCGUAGAUAUUCGCAGGAACACCAGUGGCGAAGGCGACUUGCUGGACUUGUGGUGACGCUGAGACGCGAAAGCGUGGGGAGCAA